AGCAGCCGCGGUAAUUCCAGCUCCAAUAGCGUAUAUUAAAGUUGUUGCAGUUAAAAAGCUCGUAGUUGAAUUUCGGGGUUAGUAAGUUGGUCGUGCCUAUGGUAUGUACUGGCUUUACUGAUUCCUCCUUCUUGAAGAACUGUAAUGUCAUUAAUUUGGUGUUGCAGGGAAACAAGACUGUUACUUUGAAAAAUUAGAGUGUUUAAAGCAGGCUAACGCUUGAAUACAUUAGCAUGGAAUAAUGAAAUAGGACGUUUGAUCCUAUUUUGUUGGUUUCUAGGAUUGACGUAAUGAUUAAUAGGGAUAGUUGGGGGCAUUAGUAUUCAAUUGUCAGAGGUGAAAUUCUUGGAUUUAUUGAAGACUAACUACUGCGAAAGCAUUUGCCAAGGAUGUUUUCAUUAAUCAAGAACGAAAGUUAGGGGAUCGAAGACGAUCAGAUACCGUCGUAGUCUUAACCAUAAACUAUGCCGACUAGGGAUCGGAUGAUGUUAAUUUUUAAUGACU
rnacentral:rRNA from 1 species